rnacentral:lncRNA from 1 species
AAAAAAUACUAUAUAUAUAUAUAUAUAUAUAUAUAUAUAUUACACCUUUUUUUUUCUAGAGUUUAAAAAAUUCUUUCGAAUUUUUAGUGAGAGAGUGCAAGUCUUUAGAAGGAUGGGACGCAAAAUCUUAUACUUACUCAAUAGGUGUACAAGUACUAUUGCUCUAAUUUUUAGUAGUGUCUGAAGUUAUUUCGAGUAGAGCAUUUUUAAAACACAACUUUGGAGCUUCUACUGUUAUAGAAAGGUAAAAUAGAAAAACUAAUAAUUUAGAAGCAGAAGUUUCAAUUUUGAUGUUUUGAAUUUGCUGUAAAGAAUUUAAAUAUUUGGUUUUUUCUUAU